UACGAAGGGGGCUAGCGUUGCUCGGAAUCACUGGGCGUAAAGGGUGCGUAGGCGGGUCUUUAAGUCAGGGGUGAAAUCCUGGAGCUCAACUCCAGAACUGCCUUUGAUACUGAAGAUCUUGAGUUCGGGAGAGGUGAGUGGAACUGCGAGUGUAGAGGUGAAAUUCGUAGAUAUUCGCAAGAACACCAGUGGCGAAGGCGGC
rnacentral:rRNA from 1 species